rnacentral:lncRNA from 1 species
AUGAUGAUGUUUCUAAAAGUGGCUGAAAUAUGACUUAGACGAUAUUAUAUACGUGUAUAUAUGUAUAUAUAUGUAUAUGGGAUACGAGAAAAGGUUAUGGCACUAUAUACGCACCACCACCUGAUCAGCUGGUAUACGAUGAUGAUGUUGCCCACAAUGGCUGAAAUGAUAUAAUUGGAUGUCCUCAGAGGCUCGAUGAUAUGUACGUACAGAUCUAUGCAUUACAUGACAUUUACACGCAUAUGCAUGACUUUAUAAAUAUUUCAUAAUUUAUAGAUCUAUCAAGAUAUACAGAUUGAGUCCUUUACUCCAUGUUUCUUCCAUGUCCUUUGUAUACUUAUUCACAUGCCUUACAUACUUAGUACAUUAUUCGUACUGAUGUCCUUUUGCUGGGGAUGCUGCGAUCAUGCCUGCAGGUAUAGAUAAUCAGUUGACGAGCCCUCACAGCAGACGAGAUUGGCCUUCAUCGAAGGAUGGGUAAGACUCCACCUCAUUCGAAGUGCAACCGAGUUUAACAACCCGGCCGAUCAUCUUAUGAGUUACCGCUCCACUUCCCCCAUUUAUACUUCUUAUUGCCUUGUUCAGCUGUAUUUUAUGUUAUCGGGUUGGUUGGCUCGGUUUAGGAAAGGUUUUGGUAAGGUUUGAGACACUUAGUCUCUUUUGAGGAAGCUUAAGUUGAAAAAGUCAAAUGGAUAUUGACUUAUGUGAAAAAGGGCUCGGAUGUGAAUUCUGAUGGUUCGGAUAGCUUCGGGAGGUGAUUUGGGACUUAGGAGCGAGAUCAAAAUGUGGUUUGGAGGUGUGGAGUAGAUUUGGGCUUGAAUUAGCGAAACUAGAAUUUUGGCAUUUUUCGGUUGGUAGGUGAAAUUUUGAUAUAGGGGUCGGAAUAGAAUUUUGGGAGUUGCAGUAGGUCCGUUGUGUCAUUUGCGAUGUGUGUGCAAAAUUUUAUGUCAUUCGGACGUGGUUUGAUAGACUUUUUGAUCGAAAUCGGAAUUUGGAAGAUUUUGGCAUUCUUAGGCUUGAAUCCGAUGCAAAUUUGGUGUUUGGAUGUUGUUUUUAGCGUUCCGAAGGUUGGAACAAGUUUGAAUGAUGUUAUGGGAUAUGUUGGAUGGUUUGGUUGAGGUCCCGAGGGCCUCAGGUGAGUUUUGGGUGGUUAAACGGAUCAUUUCAUAUUGAAAGAAAUUGCAGAAAAACUGUUGUUGGUGUUGUAGGUUUUUGACCUUCGCGUUCGCCAUAGAUAUUUCGAGAUCGCGAAGGGUUAGGACGUGAGGCAUUGAAAUUUGUCUUUGCAUUCACGAAGGAGGUCCCGCAUUCACGAAGGGCUGAGGCUCAUGGUCAUCGCGUUCGCGAGGGUUUAGCCGCGUUCGUGUAGUGGAAAGGUGAGCAGCUGGGUCCAGGUCGAUUUGUUCUUCACGUUCGCGGAUGGAGAGUCACAUUCACAAUGAGUUGGGAAGCUGCGAUUGCGGUGAAGGGAAAAAUGGUCAACAUGAGUUUGUGCUUCGCAAACGCGAGGCGUUAACCGCGUUCGCGAAGAAGAGAGUUUAAGUGCUGGGUAGAAUGUUUAGAAGACCCAUUUCCGUGAUUUUUGGUCUAAGUUCCUCCAUUUUUGGGAAAUUUUGAAGCUUUUUGAAGGGGAUUGAAGAGGGAAUCAAGGGGGAGAACUUGGAGGUAAGAUUUAUGGACUUAAUACUCAAUCGUAAUGUGAUUUCUACCUAAUUAAUCAUGGAAUUUGUGGAAAUUAAGCCAAAAUAUUGAAAAACUAGGGCUUGUAAUUGGAGACCUAGAAUUUGGGAUUUGAGGGGUCGUUUAUGGUUGGAUUUUGAUGCUUUGAUGUGAAUGAACUCGGGGAGUAAUAAGGAGUCUAUUGAUGUAAUUUAUAUCGGAUUUCGAGACAUGGGCCCGGAGGUCGGGUUUGGCCAAUUUCGAGAUUUGUGUUGUAAUUUGAUUUCUUUCGAGUGGGCUUUGUUCCCUUAGAAUAUUUUGAUGCUUUUGCACUGAUUUUGGUUAGAUUUGGUGCAUUCGGAGGCCUAUUCGGGAGGCAAGGGCAUCGUGGGCUAUAGUUUGGACCAGAUAGAGGUGAGUAUUGAUAGUAAAUGUUGUCAUGAGGGUAUGAAACCCCAAAUUUCACAUCGUUAUGCUAUAUUGAGGUGACUCAUAGGUUAGAUGAUGAGCGUGGAGUUAUGCACUGUUGGGGAUUGUGACUUAGUCCGCCCCGAAUGACUGUUUUACUUUGUAUUUGAUUGAAAACGGUUUGUUAUCAUCAUGUUUUGGGUUGAAUGCCAUAUUUGGGCCUCGUGCCAACUUUUUUGGACCCUUAGGGGAUUUUUACUACUAUUCCUUACUAUUUUGACUUUAUACUUGUACUCAGUCAUGCUAUAUUCCACUAUUUUCACAACUCAGCCAUGUUUAUACUGUUUUGACAUCUUAAAUGAUAUUUUGAGCUGAGCAUCAUAUUUUACCGUGCGCGAGUGGCUUUUAGAGAUUUCUGACUGAGUAGGGCCGAAGGCCUAUGUUGUGAGUUUAUUAUGGGAUCGGGUUGUGCGCCGUAGUGGUAUUGAGCUGAUUCAUGAUUAUGAGGCCGAGGGCCUAAAUUGUACGCCACAAGGUGGCUUGAUAUGAGGCCGAGAGCCUAUUGAUUAUGCCACGAGAUGGCUUGAUAUUGCGUUUGGGCCGUAAGGGGCCUCUUCCGGAGUCUGUACACCCCCAGUGAGCGCAGGUACAUAGUGUGAUAUGUGAUAUAGCCCGAAGGGUUGAUGUUGUUCCAUUCUAUUGCCUGAGGGGCUGAUUCUGUUGAUAUUGUGCCCGAGGGGCUGAUUUUAUGUGUUUAUCUUUUCUCACUGCUUUUCAUUCACUUGUUUAACUGUUAAAAGAUGUUUUAAAGAAGCUUAUACUGAACUAAGGUGUUUGAUGAGAUUUCACUGUUUUGUUGCGUUGCAAAGGUUUUUCACUGUCUCUUUAUAGCAUUUUGCUGUGAUUUUAUGUGUUUUCUUAUCGCUCAACCUUCAUUUAUUUUUAUUACUCAUUGAGUUGGAGUACUCUCAUUAUCCCUGCACCCUGUGUGCACCCUAUGUAUAGCAUUUAUGCUGUGAUUUUAUGUGAUUGCUUCCAGCAUACGGAGAUCACAUGGUAGUUACUCGGCGUUCGCAGCCCAAUGCUUCUCCUUCCUAUCUUUAUCUUCGUUUGUACUAAAUUUUAGUAGACUAUUUAGUCUUUUCCAUACUCUUAGACUUAGUAGACUAUUUAGUCGGGCUGUGUGUGUUUCAGCAAAUUAUACUAUUUCACUAUUUCUUUUGGG